GUGCUGUCUUUGGCAGCACAUACACUAAAAUUGGGACAAUACAGAGAAGAUUAGCAUGGCUCCUGUGCAAGGAUGGCAUGCAAAUUCACAAAGCGUUCCAUAUUUUU
ensembl:snRNA U6 U6 spliceosomal RNA